ACAGGUCAAAUUACUCAUGGCAGUGGCCCACCUAAAGCUCUGCAGGUCAGGUACAAUGCCUAAACUUCAGUGUGCAGCAUCAUCCCCUCAUCCACUGCUGACUGCUUUCCAUACAACCAGAGGGACAGGUCCCUUAGGGAACAGAAAUUGUAUAGAGAGAAGGAGGCAGAUACGGCUCAGGAGAGGGGGGAGGUACCUGCCAAGGCUGAGUACACAAGCCACCGUCCCAUGCAGACAGUACCAAUGCUCUUGGCUAACACCAUCAAAGCUGACAUUCUCUGCAGUGAGAGGACACAAAAGACUGACAUUCACCUCAGUGGAGGAGUUUGUGUAAGGUCUGAUGACAGAUUUUCCUGGCCUCUCUGCCCUGAUGCAAACCCAGGACUCCCCUAAGUCACAGGAGGUCAGAAGAGGAGCUGGAUUUCUUCCAAACACAACAAAUUGCAGCACUUUGGACAACUGCUCCUACCCUUUGCUGUAAACACCCUCAUCCUGGACCUACAUGACCAUACAGUCCAGCAAGAUCUGAAUCUUCUCCAUUUGUCAAGAAAACCCAGUACAGCAGUUUCUUGCAAAGCUGAUGGCAUUUUCAUGUU
rnacentral:lncRNA from 1 species